rnacentral:rRNA from 1 species
GNAAUUAUUGGGCGUAAAGAGNUCGUAGGCGGCUGGUCGCGUCUGUCGUGAAAUCCUCUGGCUUAACUGGGGGCUUGCGGUGGGUACGGGCCGGCUUGAGUGCGGUAGGGGAGACUGGAACUCCUGGUGUAGCGGUGGAAUGCGCAGAUAUCAGGAAGAACACCGGUGGCGAAGGCGGGUCUCUGGGCCGUUACUGACGCUGAGGAGCGAAAGCGUGGGGAGCGAACAGGAUUAGAUACCCUGGUAGUCCACGCCGUAAACGUUGGGCACUAGGUGUGGGGGGCCUUUUCCGGGUCUUCCGCGCCGUAGCUAACGCAUUAAGUGCCCCGCCUGGGGAGUACGGCCGCAAGGCUAAAACUCAAAGGAAUUGACGGGGGCCCGCACAAGCGGCGGAGCAUGCGGAUUAAUUCGAUGCAACGCGAAGAACCUUACCAAGGCUUGACAUGUGCCGGUCGGCUCCGGAGACGGGGCUUCCUCCUUGUGGGGCCGGUUCACAGGUGGUGCAUGGUUGUCGUCAGCUCGUGUCGUGAGAUGUUGGGUUAAGUCCCGCAACGAGCGCAACCCUUGUCCCGUGUUGCCAGCACGUUGUGGUGGGGACUCGCGGGAGACUGCCGGGGUCAACUCGGAGGAAGGUGGGGAUGACGUCAAAUCAUCAUGCCCCUUAUGUCUUGGGCUUCACGCAUGCUACAAUGGCCGGUACAGAGGGCUGCGAUACCGUGAGGUGGAGCGAAUCCCUUAAAGCCGGUCUCAGUUCGGAUCGGUGUCUGCAACUCGACACCGUGAAGUUGGAGUCGCUAGUAAUCGCAGAUCAGCAACGCUGCGGUGAAUACGUUCUCGGGCCUUGUACACACCGCCCGUCACGUCAUGAAAGUCGGCAACACCCGAAGCCCGUGGCCCUACGGGGAGCGGUC